rnacentral:lncRNA from 1 species
AUGAAAUAAAAUAUCCUAGUACAAAACAUAAUGAUACCAAUCUUAAUACCACCAAAUCUAAAAGCAAACUAAAAUGUUUGGUUGGGAACUCAACUAGAGAUCUUCAAGAUCAAUUUUCUUUCAUCAGCACUGGAAGAAAGAGAUGGUGAGAAGGAACUAUAUCUCUUGGUGAAUGAUGGAUGUAGCUCACAUCAUUAUUACUUGUGUUUUUAUUCCACCCACUCUCUGAUAGACUGAAAACCUUCUACAUAUUCCCAUUUAAUUCUCUUCAGUAUGGCUUUGUGAAUGCAGGGGUAACCAGGGAAGGGAGAGAAGAAAGAAGGCCAUAGAAAGAGAUGUGUUACAAUUCAGGAGGAGCCACCAGCUUUGAGGGAAGGGAGUCGAUGCCAACACAGCUCUGUGAUCCAAUCCAGUGUCCACCCAGCUGGGAUUCUUCAGACUGGAGAACAUCUCUCAUGUUCAGCAUCACCACAGCCCCACAGGAUUUACCAGCCUGCUGAUUGUCUGCCAUGUCCUAGCUCUCUGCCUGCCCAGCCCUCUUGGAAGACAGCAGUGAUGGAGACAGAAGCAGGCAUGUAGCAAAGCAGCAUGAAGAGUGCUGAGAGAGGGACAUACAGCUGCUGUCAUAACUCCUCUAAGGGUCUCCUCGCCUGAACUUGGAGGCCACAGCAGCCUUCCUGGAGGAAAUAAUGGCCAGUUGAAUGGUUAAAAAUUGACAGGUUACUGGGUACAGUGCCAGGGAUGAGCAUCACAUGAUCCACCCUGUUACCACAGAGCUCUGAAGAGAUUUCUUCUGUUUUUCCUUGAAAGUCCAGCUUCAUUAAUGAUGGUAUUAUGGUGCCUUAAGUAGAACAGGGACGGCAAACAAACAUUUACAACUAAGGUGAAACCGUUUUUAAAUUUGCCCAAGUUCUUUAGCCUCUGUGUUGGAUUUUGACUUUGACUCGAUGUUUACCAACUUUCUUCUUCAGGGGCGGGUAUCAGGAAUUGAACUCGGGUCCUUGCGCUUGCAAGCAGGCCACUGAACUGCUGAGCUAAAUCCCUGGCCCACCAACUUUCUUCUUGACUGGCAUCCUACAAGGUCCAUGUAAACUGGUCAUGUUUGAGGAAUGAGGUCUUGCCUCUGGCUUGACAGUAUAUCCAGUUCUGAUGUUUCAGAGGGUUUGAUGCCUCCCUUAUGUGCUGUUAAGCAUUGUGCCUGUGUUUGACCCUGAAAUGAACUCUGGGUGCAGAAACUAGACACAGGUUCUUGUACACUUGACAAUCCCCUGAAUAACCCUAACAGACAAACUAACACAUUCAGUAUAGCUUGUAACUGUACACAUAUGGGGAAGUAAAUAGUAAUAAAAUGUGCCAGUUUGCAGGUAGCCAUAGCUGGGAAGGUCAUCUAGGAGGAGUGGGACAAGAAUCUCUCUUUCUUCUCCUUUUUUCACAUUAACAAAGAAAACAAAUCAAUGGAUCUUCAAGAGGCAAAAUAGCAUCUUACAAGGUUAAAAGUCUCAGUGCUGGGAUCAGAGUAUUUUGGGUUGAAUACCACCAGAGCCUCUUAGAAACCAUUACCUCGGUCACUUAAUCUGUCUAAGCUUCCAUUUCUCUUUUAUAAAACGGAGACAGUUAGCACUCUCUGUAAUGGUAUAACCUAAGCCACUAUAAUAAAAGGAACAACAACAAAAAAUAGAAUAGUUUAAAGAAGAUCAAAGUUUCUGUCUCUCACAAAAUGUCUCAAACCUAGAUGGUGCAGGGACAGGGACAAGCCUGUCAUCUGGAAUGUGAGGCUUCCAUCUGAGUCCAAGGCACCUGCUCCAGCUCACGUAGUCAUCGCUGCAUGGGAAUGGGGACAAAGGAGCCCAUGGAGCGCCAGCCCAUUCCCCUCCAGGGCUAGACUUGGAAACGGCACCUUUGAUUUCUGCUCAUCUUCCAUGAAUUUAGGUGCCAUGCCUGGCUAGACAGGAAACUAGGAAAUGUAGUCAUUGACUGGGUGGUCAUGUGAUUGGCAAACUUCAAGAACUUUGCUGUAAAAGAAAAGGCAAUGAAUUAGUGAUCAACCAGCAUCGAGCGCCGCAUUGAUCGCCUAUGGCCAUUGGAUUCCCUAGGGAAGAAAAUAUCCCCCAGUUAUCAGACUUUCCAUAGCUCUUGAGCCCCAUGGGGCUCUUUCAUGGGCUGCCUUAGGUGUGGAGAAAGUACAGCACACUCUGUGUUGGGGUUUUAUAUUCUAGUCAACCUCAUCGGCAUGUGCUGCAGCUGAAAGACCGCCUUUCACCACUGCAAGUGUGGCUCUCAGAUCACACUGUGAUAAACAAGCACAGUCCUAAAUUGAACCUUCCCAUCCUGCAUAACUAUCCUCGCAAAAUAUACUUUAACAAAAAUUUAUACUGUUUCUACUCUGUCCAGACUCUAUACCAAGGGAUUUUCUAAUAUUAACUGCCAAAUCCUUGUGACAACCCUCAAAGGUAUACAGGGUAUAGAUAUUAUUAUCUUCACUCUUAAGUACAAGGACCCUGAGUUACAGAAAGACUCAUUAACCUCUCAAAGCCACAUCACUAGUUAGAGAAGGGGUCAAGACUGGGACCAAGAGGUGGCCCCAGAAGUCCCAUCCCAACUCCUACAUCAUCCUGCUUGCAGUGAAGUGGGCAGGAAGAGAGGAAGGGCUGGGCUGACUGCUUCACAUUCUUAGAAUACACCUGAGGCGUUGCACCACCUCCUGACUGCCUAGGACCUGUUCUGUGGGAGACACAUUGAUUUAAACCAAUUAUGAGGUCCAUGUAUCACUCCCACAUAAUAUAGGGGGAAAAGGUGUUCCAGGCCCUUCAAAAGAAAGAAUGGGGACUGGCAUGAGUUUGGGACACCAGAGCAGUGCAGGCCUAGAAAGCAAUGUGUGAUAGGCGAGCUGCCAAAGGUGGUGAUCAGAGCACCGGAGAAGAGGCACCUGGAAAAGCAGCUUGCUGAGUCUCAGGAAUGAAGGAGAAGGAAGAUCCUUAACUAUUGCUCCUUUCUUAACAGCAAAAGUGCAGGCUUCCAGGACAGUAAACUGAAUAUUUCCUAGAAAAACAUGUCCAUCAGUUUAUG